rnacentral:lncRNA from 1 species
CAACAAGGGAGGGUCCCGUGAGCAGCCAGGCUGGCCCUCCCCGGGCCUGGGUGAGCUCCCAAAGCUGGAGCGCAGGGCUCUAGGCCGGCCCCGCCCCGGGGCUGGGGGCUUCCCGCCCGUUUGUCUCAUUUUAACUUUUGGGGGCAGCUCUGUCCCGAAUGGUGAGUGGUCCAGACUCUAGAAAGGGGUUUGGUCGCUUGAGCCCGGAUUGAGGCUUGGGACCUUUGCUCUCUUGCUGGGG